GACGAACGCUGGCGGCGUGCUUAACACAUGCAAGUCGAACGGUAAGGCCCUUCGGGGUACACGAGUGGCGAACGGGUGAGUAACACGUGGGUGAUCUGCCCUGCACUUCGGGAUAAGCCUGGGAAACUGGGUCUAAUACCGGAUAGGACCACUGCCUGCAUGGGUGGUGGUGGAAAGCUUUUGCGGUGUGGGAUGGGCCCGCGGCCUAUCAGCUUGUUGGUGGGGUGAUGGCCUACCAAGGCGACGACGGGUAGCCGGCCUGAGAGGGUGACCGGCCGCGCUGGGACUGAGAUGCGACCCAGACGCCUACGGGAGGCAGCAGUGGGGAAUAUUGCACAAUGGGCGCAAGGCUGAUGCAGCGACGCCGCGUGAGGGAUGCGGGCCUUCGGGUUGUAAACCUCUUUCAGCACCGACGAAGCGCAAGUGACGGUAGGUGCAGAAGAAGGACCGGCCAACUACGUGCCAGCCGCCGCCGUAA
rnacentral:rRNA from 1 species